rnacentral:rRNA from 1 species
UGCGAAUGGCUCAUUAAAUCAGUUAUCGUUUAUUUGAUAGUACCUUACUACUUGGAUAACCGUGGUAAUUCUAGAGCUAAUACAUGCUAAAAAUCCCGACCCCUGGAAGGGAUGUAUUUAUUAGAUAAAAAACCAAUGCCUUCGGGCUCCUUGGUGAUUCAUGAUAACUUAACGAAUCGCAUGGCCUUGCGCCGGCGAUGGUUCAUUCAAAUUUCUGCCCUAUCAAGUUUCGAUGGUAGGAUAGUGGCCUACCAUGCUUUCAACGGGUAACGGGGAAUUAGGGUUCUAUUCCGGAGAGGGAGCCUGAGAAACGGCUACCACAUCCAAGGAAGGCAGCAGGCGCGCAAAUUACCCAAUCCCGACACGGGGAGGUAGUGACAAUAAAUACUGAUACAGGGCUCUUUGUGGUCUUGUAAUUGGAAUGAGUACGAUCUAAAAACUCUAACGAGGAACAAUUGGAGGGCAAGUCUGGUGCCAGCAGCCGCGGUAAUUCCAGCUCCAAUAGCGUAUAUUAAAGUUGUUGCAGUUAAAAAGCUCGUAGUUGAACCUUGGGCCGGGGUGGUGGGUCCGCCUCACCGCGUGCACUCGCCCGCUCUGGCCUUUCCUUCUGGCAAACCCCAUGCCCUUCACUGGGUGUGGCGGGGAACCAGGACUUUUACUUUGAAAAAAUUAGAGUGUUCAAAGCAGGCAUAUGCUCGAAUACAUUAGCAUGGAAUAAUAGAAUAGGACGUGUGGUUCUAUUUUGUUGGUUUCUAGGACCACCGUAAUGAUUAAUAGGGAUAGUCGGGGGCAUCCGUAUUCAACUGUCAGAGGUGAAAUUCUUGGAUUUGUUGAAGACGAACUACUGCGAAAGCAUUUGCCAAGGAUGUUUUCAUUAAUCAGGAACGAAAGUUGAGGGAUCGAAGACGAUCAGAUACCGUCGUAGUCUCAACCAUAAACUAUGCCGACUAGGGGCCGGGCGACGUUCUUAUUUUGACCCGCUCGGAACCUUACGAGAAAUCAAA